AACAACUACUACUAACUACCAAAAGGGCACACUAGACCAUCUAUGAAGAGCCCCACCAAUCCCCGCCCAGCCCCGAGAGGGAAUUGCGAGAAUUUCUAAAAGCCUCUAUCCUAACAAAGGGCACACUAGACCAUCUAUGGAGAGCCCCACCAAUUUCCGCCCAGCCCCGAGAGGGAAUUGCGAGAAUUUCUAAAUGUCUCUAUCCUAAAACCCUGAUGCUAGACUUCUAGACUCUCCUAUCAAGAUAGGGCCAUGUCCUCGGAAAUCCACAAUCUAGCCAUGUCAUGCCUAAUCUUUAGAAAGAAGAUCUUUUGUCUCAUGGUAGCAUGCUCCAGUCCCCUUACGAAACUUUCGUUAUUGGGUUAGCCAUACACUUCACAUGUUUCUAGCGAUUCACAUGGCAUCAUCAAAUGAUACAAGANN
rnacentral:lncRNA from 1 species